ACUUUUCAGAGGUGUAAAUACUUGAGCUCAACUGGAUGAUGGCUUUCUUAAGAAGUUUCCUGAUGUCAAACAGAAGUUACUAGGAAAAAUUCAUUCCAAUAUAGAAGAGGAGUUGGUUGCUUUAGAUAAAUUACAAAAGGAAAUAAAGGCACUUGUGGAUGGAUUGAAAUUUCGAUUGACUUCUGUGGAGAAAGCGUAUGCAAAGCACAACCCGGAUGAAGACAAAGAGUUCAACCCUCUUAAUCCUGGAAAUGGGAGUUUGUUGGAGUAUGCUGGAGAUUCCUGGGGAUGUUUCCAUAUAUUAUGGCUUGGAGUGAAAACGGCAAUAGAGACAAUUGAUUAUUUUGAAAAAGAAUCGAUAACGAAUAUUUCAGAUGCCUUUUCGAAAUAUAAACUGGUGCAGACACAUUUGCAAGAUAUUCUAGAUUUGACAUACUACUUACGAACGACAUAACCAAAUCAGAGAAGUCAGGUGAUGGAAGAAUUCUAAAAUAGUGCAAUAAUAUUUUAUUAAGUACAAAGAAAUUCAUGUAUAUUUUUUAAAUAAUUUUUUAUGGUUAUAAAUAAAAAUAAUUGUAUAUACAAUAUUAA
rnacentral:misc_RNA from 1 species